GGGCGGAGUCCUCCUUGAGGUUGGAGUCAUGGGCGGAGUCCGGCUCCCGUGGGAGUCCGGGCGGAGUCCUCUCGGAGUUGAAGUCAUGGGCGGAGCCCGGCUCCCAUAGGAGUUCGGGCGGAGUCCCCCUCGGAGUCGUGGACGGAGCCCGCAAGGGUUAACCCCGUCGAGAACUUCGACCGUGGGUAUUUUAUACCCAACACCAGCCCCCUACUUUCGAGUUCGAAUUUCGAGCGAAGGAAGUACAGAGAGAUUGGCGCAGCCGAAGUCGUCCCCUCGAAUCCUACGCACGACCGCUUUCAGAUAUUUUGGGCAUUAAAUGUGCGCGUGCUGGAGUCUUUUCGAAUCGCGGUGAUACGAAGGGACCCUUCGAAUUUUCCGUCGGUACACUGGCCCAGGCAUGGCGCCAUAAUGACUCUGCCAAUCCGUCAGUCACUUUUAGCCGCCUG
rnacentral:lncRNA from 1 species